UACGUAGGGUGCAAGCGUUAAUCGGAAUUACUGGGCGUAAAGCGUGCGCAGGCGGUUUUGUAAGUUUGUCGUGAAAGCCCCGGGCUCAACCUGGGAAUUGCGAUGAAGACUGCAAGGCUUGAAUCUUGGCAGAGGGGGUAGAAUUCCACGUGUAGCAGGUGAAAUGCGUAGAGAUGAUGGAGGAACAGCCGGAAUGGCGAACGGCACCCCUGGUCAAGCAUUGACGCGUCGAUGCACGAAAGCUGGGAGCAAACAGGAUUGAGAGUACCGUUG
rnacentral:rRNA from 1 species